GCUCCGGUAGUAUAGUCCGGUCAAGUAUAGCGGCCUCUCGAGUCGCGGACCCGGGUCCAAAUCCCGGCCGGAGCACCA
rnacentral:tRNA from 1 species